AGUGAACGCUGGCGGUAGGCCUAACACAUGCAAGUCGAACGGCAGCACAGUAAGAGCUUGCUCUUACGGGUGGCGAGUGGCGGACGGGUGAGGAAUACAUCGGAAUCUACUUUUUCGUGGGGGAUAACGUAGGGAAACUUACGCUAAUACCGCAUACGACCUACGGGUGAAAUCAGGGGAUCUUCGGCCCUUGCGCGAGUGAAUGAGCCGAUGUCGGAUUAGCUAGUUGGCGGGGUAAAGGCCCACCAAGGCGACGAUCCGUAGCUGGUCUGAGAGGAUGAUCAGCCACACUGGAACUGAGACACGGUCCAGACUCCUACGGGAGGCAGCAGUGGGGAAUAUUGGACAAUGGGCGCAAGCCUGAUCCAGCCAUACCGCGUGGGUGAAGAAGGCCUUCGGGUUGUAAAGCCCUUUUGUUGGGAAAGAAAAGCAGCAGGUUAAUACCCCGCUGUUCUGACGGUACCCAAAGAAUAAGCACCGGCUAACUUCGUG
rnacentral:rRNA from 1 species